GGGCGGCCGACGGAGAGCUGCAGCGCCGCGGGCCGGCGGUGGGGACGGGGCUGAGCCCCGCGGGAGGCUGCGGCUCAUGGGGGGGCUGCGGGGACAGGAGGUGAAGGGACAGUACGUGUGGUACCCGUGGGGGUACUGAGAGGGGAAAAAAAUAGGCUUGUAGUGCGCGAAUCGAGGGCUGUAAUGCCUUUAAAGGAGCAGGUAGGAUCAGUCUGGCUCUGUGGGAGGCGUUAUGCUAUGUUUAAUGUAUAACCAUUUGUUCUUUUUAUUUUUACCCAUACAUCCAAACUUAAAGGAAAACUCAUAUUGGCUUUGACCAUCAGCGUUGCAUUUCAGAGGUUUACCACCUCUUCACUGGUGGUGUAUGUAAUCAACGUUGGCACUUCUUAUAUGCAAGUGUUUCUUUUUCCUUUUUCUCAAUACCCUUUUAUCAGGAGCAGUGCAAAGCCGAAGCUGUGGUGCUUUGUGCUGUAUUUCCCAUGUACGUUUUUACUGCAGGCAGUUAAAGGAUUAUCCAGACCUUCAUCAGAACAACUUCGGUGGGUUUAUAUUUUUAAGGCUGUUGCCUUGAUGGUCUGAUCAAAAGCUGCGGGCUUAUCCAAGCCUGAUGGACCUCCGAUAAAAGUGGGUCUUUCAGAACACAGUUGAAGAACUUUGAGUUUUUAAAAAGGAAUCUGGAAACAAUGGUUUUACCAACAGUUUGUUUUCCUUUUAGAAGGAUGACUUUGAAAAGUUUUUCCUAUUUCUUAUUCUUCUCACGCUUGCCCCACGAGCCAAAUAGAACUGGAAGCAUGUUUGGUUUUUUUUUGUUUUGUUUUGUUUUUAACCGUACAUCUAAAUAAAAUGGUCCACAGACUAAUUCAUGAAGUAGAAUUUCACUGCUUUAAACGUAACCUAAGAAAUGUAGUGAGCUUGCCUAUGUGUAUCUCUUAAGCCUUGAGUGUACCUAAGCCUUAAAUGUACGUAGUCUUGCCAUCACUUCUGUUUUCUUCAAAAAUACACUGUUUGGCAUGAAAUCGCCAAUUGGCACAGGAGUGUAAUAGCAGAUGAUUCUGGUCACGCUGAAGUCAAGAGUUCUGGUGUUGCCUGCAGUAGAGUUGUGAUCUUCAGAGGAGGAGCUCCCAGGAGAAGCUGAAAUAUUUAAGUAGUAGGCAAACCUGGUACGUAGAAGUGCUUCUCAGGGACAGUUUAGGCAAGGCGUGAUUCUUUUUUUUAACCUACUGCUGUAACUCAGAACAAGUUAGGCAAGGUUAAUUACAGUGUAAUAGAGUUUAAUUUAGCUGGGAAUGAGGGUAUGGUGGCUGCUAGCAGUGUUUCUCAAACUGUGAGGCUGGCCUCCUUAGGCAAGCUUACACAAGCCCAAGGCAAAUGGAAAAACACAUUUUUGUCUGGGACUUGGCAAAGGUAGAACCCCCACAUCUAUUAAUGAUGAUUCCUCAUUUGCCAAGGCAAAAAUUGAAAUGUUCUCCCAAGGAAAAGAUUAAUGACCUGUCCCACUUAAGGGUCGGAUGAUUCAAUACCAUUCUGUCUCAGUUCUAAUAUAUGGCACUCAUUAUCACAGUCUCUGAGCACCUCCCAAAUAUUUAAAAAGAAAUAACACUAGUGUUCUGUACACACAGUUCUCAUUAAAUUCAGUGGGUGUUGUGAAUGUUUAAACACAGCAAAGCAGAGCCCUGAAGAGUUGGAAAUAGACUUGCAAAACACGCUGUGGGUUUGAUCCACAGCUGGCUUGAAUCGGCCCAACUCUGUUAACUCGAGGGGAGUUGCACUCAUUUACAUCAGCUGGGGUUUGACCCAUUGCUUUUCUUCCCGGUGCCACCUCCAGCUGAUAAGCCUGAUCCUCCCAUCUGGCUCUAUCCAAACUUGUUGCUGAUUUCAGUGGCAGUGUGAGCUGUUUAAGGGAGGGUUUCCUGCUUCCAAGGUGUUAUCAUUGCUCUUCAUAGCGUGGUUUGAGAUGAUGUCAGAAGGCUUGUGAAACUGCACUGGUAUAUGGAAAAAAACUACUUUUGAAAACUGCAUUCAUUCUGCUUUGCCUUCUUCAGCUGUCAACGCCCUGACACUGAUUCAGCUCUUCAUCUUUCAUAUCCCGGGACAGAGAAUAAACAAUACGUAGCCAGCUUCAGUGCAAGCAUUGAAAAACUGGAAAAUGAGGACUUUCUGAAAAAUAAAACCUUCGUGAACUGGUUGAUCUAGCUACUUGAUUUUGAAACUUUUUUGUUUUCUUUUGUUCAACACCCUCAUGCAGGGGAGGAAAAAAAAACAACAAAAACGAAAGGAAAGCCAUUAAUGCUCUGUUUGGUAGUUUAUUCUGAUAUGUAUUUUAUUGUGACUUUUUCUAAUGUGCCAUACGUUGCCUGAUACACUGGAGUUUAAGCCUUCAUAGCAACUGACUUCUUUUGUGCUUCUCAGUUCUCCAGUCUGGGUUCUGAAAGAGGCAACAACAGAAGAGUUCCCUCCUCUGGGAAGAGGUCUCCCAGGGCAGUUCCCGGCCGAGCAGUGCCAUCUGCCGAAAGUGGAAAGCACAGCCCGGGAGCUGCGGGUCUGGAAGCGCUGCUCCUCCAGCGCUGCUAAAUGCUCUUUGUUUUGAGUUUACUUGAGGUUUGGGAUUCGAACUCUUCUGGUGCAGUUCCUAAGAACAGCAGUACUGCUGAGACAAGAAGUUUCUUUCUGUUGCUGGUAGUGAAAUCUGCUCUCAAAGAGCCUCUAGGCUGUUGGGAAACUGUCACCUGCUCUGUUCUUUGUCUCAUACUGACAAAGCAGCCUUGUUUUAGUUGAGAUGUAUAAUUUGCUCUUUCCAAUCAAGUGUGCUUAAAUAUUGAAUUCAGAAAAUGGAGUCUUUCUGCUUCGUUAAAGGAUUAAUAAGGCACUGAGCUCUGAAUGGACUGGUGGGAAAAACACCCUCAGGAUUCACUGAGGAGAAGGAAAUAAAACAGCAACUUUCCAGUAAGACAAGGCAUCAGAUGAGCUGUGCACUCCAAACUCUCUGGAGCAUGUUGGGUGAUUUUGUUCUCUACAGUAUAAUUUUCAUAUUGUAUUCUCAAGUCACAAAAGCUGUAAGUGUUUCUGUGUGGCCAGCAAAGCUAACCUUUCAAUUUAUGGUAUGAUGCUCCUUUAUCUUUGACGGGAAAAAAAAAAAAAAAAGGCUGCAGGGAACUUGAUGUUUGCUUUUUAAUGAGUCGGUUGUCACAAAGUAGAGAGAGACCUUGGGAAUGCCUCUGUGUGCAUUGCACUGGGCAGAGGGGAGCUAGAAGCCAGGGCUGGGCUUUUCCUUCCCUCUUUGACCCCCUCCGUGCGUGAAUUCUCCCCUCAGUCCAAAUUUCUGCCCUAUAAGUCUUUAUCAUCCUGUUUCACUUCACUGAUGUGAGAAAGCAGCAUCAAGGGAGGAUCAGGCUGGGUGUUAGGAAAAGAUUCUUGACCAGAGGGUGGUCGGCCACAGGAGUGGGCUCCCCAGGGCAGUGUUCAUGGCCCCAGGCUGUCGGAGAUCAAGGAGCGUUUGGACAAGGCUAUCCGCGCUCGGGACAUCUCUUGGCUGUCGCUGUCCCCCUGAGGCCCGACUCCUCCAGCCGCUGUCCCCGUAGGAGCCGCCCGGCAGCGAGGCGGUGUGGGGGCGCUGUCUGUGGUGCUGAAGCGGUGCGCGGAUUCGACUUGCUCCCCAUCCGCAGCCCCCUAAAGACCAACCAACAUUAAAAGGCGGCAGAGUUAUUAUUAUUGUUUUACAUUCUGCGGCUUAAAUAUAUCUAGAGAGAGGCCACUGAAAUAGUAGUAGAAGCACAGAUGCAUAACACAAGCAGAACUAUAAUGUGACUGGGUGGACAUGUUUCAUGGAGGCGAGGGUGGCUGGGGCUUUGCAUGAGAAACACUCAGGCAAGUUAGUGAGGGUUAAACUGGUAUGAUUAGGGUGACAAGGAAUUAAGCAAGAGACCAUGGAUUGCAUACUGUCUCUCUUUAUGACUUGCAAAUUAGAAUGGAAAUUAAAAAGCUGGAAGACAGAGAUCCCCACGCCUCGCAGACACGGGCAACUGAGCAAAAGAUUAUCUGCAACUGUCUCUCAUUAAAUGGUGUCAGGCUUCCUUCCCCUGACCUUCACAGGUUGUUUACAGAAAGAGUUCUGAUCUCCUCUUGGAGAGCGAGGUCACAGGGAGGCAGGGGCCUGA
ensembl:lncRNA